GGCCCGUUCGUCUAGGGGUUAGGACGUUAGAUUUUCAUUCUAGAAACAGGGGUUCGAUUCCCCUACGGGCUACGA
rnacentral:tRNA from 3 species